rnacentral:rRNA from 1 species
CAUGCAAGUCGAACGGAGAUUACUUCGGUAAUCUUAGUGGCGAACGGGUGAGUAACGCGUGGGCAACCUGCCCUCUAGAUGGGGACAACAUCCCGAAAGGGGUGCUAAUACCGAAUGUGACAGCAAUCUCGCAUGAGGAUGCUGUGAAAGAUGGCCUCUAUUUAUAAGCUAUCGCUAGAGGAUGGGCCUGCGUCUGAUUAGCUAGUUGGUGGGGUAACGGCCUACCAAGGCGAUGAUCAGUAGCCGGUCUGAGAGGAUGAACGGCCACAUUGGGACUGAGACACGGCCCAGACUCCUACGGGAGGCAGCAGUGGGGAAUCUUCCGCAAUGGGCGAAAGCCUGACGGAGCAAUGCCGCGUGAGUGAUGAAGGAAUUCGUUCCGUAAAGCUCUUUUGUUUAUGACGAAUGUGCAGGUUGUGAAUAAUGACUUGUAAUGACGGUAGUAAACGAAUAAGCCACGGCUAACUACGUGCCAGCAGCCGCGGUAAUACGUAGGUGGCGAGCGUUGUCCGGAAUUAUUGGGCGUAAAGAGCAUGUAGGCGGUUUUUUAAGUCUGGAGUGAAAAUGCGGGGCUCAACCCCGUAUGGCUCUGGAUACUGGAAGACUUGAGUGCAGGAGAGGAAAGGGGAAUUCCCAGUGUAGCGGUGAAAUGCGUAGAUAUUGGGAGGAACACCAGUGGCGAAGGCGCCUUUCUGGACUGUGUCUGACGCUGAGAUGCGAAAGCCAGGGUAGCGAACGGGAUUAGAUACCC